CCGCCGCCCCCGAGAGCACCGCGCUGCUCGGCGCCUUCCCGGCUAGCUGCCGGGCACGCACCGCGCUGUAGUGCCCUACUGCAGUUUCCGGCCCAGCCCGGCCUUUUCUCACCGUCCUCCAGAGCCGCUGCCGCUUGGCGCUGACGGAGGUGGCAGUGACGAUGAGAUGGGAGAUGGACACCACGAGUCCGAAAACGAUGGCCAGCAGGGUCCGGACGGGCAGCAGUGAAUACGAGACGAAGGUGACCAGCAUGAGCUGCCACAUGCCCUGCUCCGGGGCGCUGGGGGGUUCCAUGCCGUAGGCGCCUAGCGAAAAGGGGCAGCAGAGGAAGGAGAAGGUGAAGCUAAAGAGCAAGAUAUAUGCACGACUGAUGAACCUCUUGAGGGAGAUUCUCAGCAGCAACUGCUGCCAGCAAGGUACUUCCUGAGGCCAGUGUGUGAGCAGGACAAUGUUUAGACUUACUCACCAAGCCACUGAGAAGAACUGACCUUUUGAAUAAGCAUCCAGAUUACUCACCUCUCAUUUGGGAGAGGAUAUUAUCCAUGAAACUGGAUAUGAAGACCAAUGCUGUAUGGGAACUGUUGAAUCACAGCCUGAACCUCUGAUUGAUCAGCUGAGGUGAGCACUGAGUCAGCUGUGGGAGCACAAGUGAAGGCAAUUCACCUGUGUGACCAGAAGGGGUGGAGCCUGGCUCCACCUCUCCGAGACCCCAUUUAAGGGCUGACUGCCACCGAGGAAGGAUCUCUUGGAGUUUUUCCUGCGAGCUUACAGCAUGGGUGAACAUUUUCCAUUUGUUUCUGAUUGUCCCUUUCCAACAUGAUAAUUGUUCUAGCUUUACAAUCUGUGGAUACCAAUCUGACCACACCACUCCAUAUAUUUGUUGACUAUACAGAUGCAAACACUGAUUGAUUUUCACAGACAGGAGCAGACACAUCAACCAUGAAACUAGUGUUGAUACAACUAAUUUUAUAUUAUCAUGGUAAUCAAAAUGGAAGUUGGGAAAAUAGUUCCUGGAGUUAAAAAUUCCGGUUAAAAACUGUAGGAGCAGAGAUAGCAAACUCAUUUAAUUUCAGCAGUUGUUGAGUGUGUAGAAGUCCAGGAGGGUUCAAAGACUGGCUAGCCCAAUUGGUGUCACCCAAAUGGUGGGUUAGCAAAUUGAGCAUUGUUCAUAAUGGAAGGGAAUUCUGGACAAAGGAUGGCGAUCCCUGGCAACUUUGUUUUCCUGGAAAAGAUAUUUAUAGUCUAAGUAGAACUGACCCAAAGGGGAUCCAAGUGGGGAAAUGUAGAUGCGAAUGGACUUUAUCUCCAUGGUUCAGUAGAAAUAAUUUGCUAAUCCCAGGAAUAGGCAUUUCAGUGGGCAUAGCAACAUCAAAAUUGGAUUAGGACUUCCAAAAAUUGUGGUCUGUGCCUAACCAAUGUUUGGGGAUAUCAAUACAGCAUGUAACUGUACGUGGAGGCCAGAUGGGAGAGCCUGGAGGUGUGUUUAUUGUCUUAAUGGUAGUUUGGGAGUUCCGUAGAACCUGGAAAAGCAAUAUAUUACGAAGAACCAGCCUCAAAAAGAGAGGAAAGGUUCUUCUUCUAAUGGCACAUGGGCCCUAAAAGGCCAUUACUGGAUCUGUGGACAAUGUGCCUACCAAACGUUACCUCCAAAUUGGUCAGGGAUGUGUUAUGUAGGAUAUAUUAGACUACUGUUUUCUUGUUGCCACAAGUCCAGGGAAGUACAAUGGGAGUUAAAAAAUAAAAUAAAAUAAAAAUGUAUGAUGACUUAAUAGAGAAAAAUGAUCAAUUAACACCACUUUUGUUGGGGGAAGUUUUCAAACACGAGGAAAGGAUGAGUGGCCACCUGAAAGAAUUAUACAGUGCUAUGGACAAGACAUUUGUAAUCUUAAUGAAUUUGUAACAGGUGCCAGAGAACCUUUUAUAUUUUAAAUCAUGUAAUUAGAUUACAAACUAUCAUAGAAAUAAUAACUAAUCAAAUUGCUACAACUCCUGAUCUUUUGGCGGACCAAUCCAUUCAAAUGAGAAAUGUGAUUUUUUUUCAGCAUCACAUCAUCUUAAAUUAUUUGUUAGUAGAAGAAGGGGGAGUUUGUGGGAAACUGAAUGAAUCUAAAUGUUGCCUACAAAUUGAUGAUGAUGGAAAAGUGGUAAAACAUAUCUCAAAAGAAAUGAGAAAACUAGCUCACAUACCUAUCCAAAUGUGGAAAUGUUGGGAAUUAAAUAUGUUUAAUGGCUGCUGGGGGAACCAUGGGCUAAGCAUGCACUUUUCUUUUUUUUUUUUUUUAGUAUAACCACAGUUUUAAUUUUUGUUCCAUAAUUAAUUCCCUGUUUGAUGCAACUAAUAAGUUUUAAUAAGGAUGCAAAUAAUAGCCGCGACUGAUGAGCGGAAGUUAACUGAGGAACAAAAAAACGUGCCUUUACAUCUAAUGCCUAAGUCUAAGAUUAUAUUAGAAGAAGAUACAUUAUGAAAGUCAAAGGACUGAUUGAAGUAUUCAGGCCUGAACUAUCGGCCCUGAAUCCAAGCUGAGUUCUAGAUGAACCUCACAAACAAAUGCUAUACUGCACAUUCAAUGCAAUCUCUCAAUUUUGGUGUUUUAUUAUGAAUGUAUAUUUUUAUGCCAGUUUAUAAAUAUCUGUUGGAACGCUCAUUGUGUGAUGCUAACUGAUGGGAUUUUUCUUUAGGGCAUAUUUACAAGACAGUGUACUUUGUGAGCAGUGGGGCCAGAUAUAUGGUCUUGUUGAGAAAUACGUGGUUAAAACACAAAUGGAUAGAGACACAGCCUUGGUUUCUGCUCUUGAAGUUAUGUAAGCUUGUUUAUUCAACCAUAUAAAAAAUGGACCUCCUUGUAGCAAGUUUGGAGACCUAACCAAUGAGAGGAAGCAUUGUGUAGAACCCCCCAGUUGCCAGGAAAUGCUCUCCAAAUCCUCACUGCAAGAGGGGCUCCCCAGUGAUUCUGAGCCAAAUGAUGGUAAAGUAUUUGGGCAAUUGGUGAUGUACCUUAUUAAUCACUAUAGUUACUUAAUCUUGUGUAGUAGUGAUUAGGGACAUUACCUUGUUCUCUGCUACUCUUGCUGUAUCUUUUCACCUUGUUUUGUUCUACUCUCACUGUGCAACUGACAUUAUCUACCUGGACUUGUGCAAAGUCUUUGACAUUAUCCCACGUGAUGUCCUGGUCACCAAAUUGGAGAAAAAUGGAUUUGAUGAAUGCAUAAGGAUUCCUGGAUAAGGAAUUGGCUGUCCGAUUGCACUCGGGAAGUUGCAGUCAAUGGCUGAAUGUCCAAGUGGAGAUCAGCGAGAAAUGGCGUUCCUCAGGGAUUGGUGUUGGGACUGGUGGUAUUUAACAUCUUUGUAGGUGACAUGGACGGUAGGAUUGAGUGUACUUCCAGCAUAUUUGCAGAUCACACCAAGCUGACUAAUGUUGUUGUCAUGUUAGACGGAAGGGAUGUUAUGCAGAGGGAUCUGGACAGACUUGAGAGAUGUUCCCAUGCCAACUUCAUGAUGUUUAACAAGGUCAAGUGCAAGGUCCUGCACCUGGGUCUGGGUAAUCCUAAGCACAAAUACAGGUUGGAUGGCUUAAGAGCAGCUGUGAGAAGGAUUUGGGAGUGUUGACUGAUGAAAGAUUCAAUGUGAGUGGGCAAUGUGUAUUUGCAGCCUGGAAGGCCAACUGUAUCCUGGGGUGCACCAAGGGAAGCAUGACCAGCAGGUUGAUGUUGAGGCAGGUGAUUCUGCCCUCUCAAGACCCUGCCCGGAAUACUGCAUCUAGUUCUGGCGCUCCCAACACAAGAAGGACAUGGAGUUGUUGGAGCAGGUCUAGAGAAGGGCCACAAAGACCAUCCAAUGGUUAAAUUAGGAGCUUACUUCACCAAUACUAUGGUAUCUGAUAAUGGAUUGAAGGCACAGUCAGAGUGAAACUUUCACUUUUUACACCUGCAGGAUCAUGAUAAUGCCUAUUUCAUUUCCCAUAGUCAUAUUUAUUUACAAAAUUAAUUGAAUUUAUUGUUGUACUUCUGUUGCAUGAUUGAGUCAAGUGUAAGUGUUCUGAACAAAUGCAAAAGCUCUAUUUGGAAUCACAAAGAAAAGUCAACUGAAUCCAUUAGUGGAGAUGUGUCUUUUCCGCUCACACUAUAUGUCCCAGUAGACUAAAUCUAGGGUCUAAAUGAAUGAAGAAUGUCUGCCAAAUGUCUGUUUUUAAAACAUUCUGGCACACCGAAAUCUACUCUGAAAAUAAAAUAGCAUCAUUUGAAAGCAAAAAUUCUGUGGCUAGCCAUUUGCUUUUGAACUGAAAACAAUCAAGUAUUUCCAUCUCACAAACUUAUCAAUCCUUUUCUCAUGAAUAAAAACAAUCAAGGGCUUGUGCUUCUUAAUCUUGCUCUUGGGAUUCUAUGUGGUAGCAUUAACUGCGAUUUCAGUGAUGUAGGACAGGAAAAAUUAAUAUAAUGUGACCCUGAAGAUAUUUUUUGCUUGCUUGUCAAGCUCUGCUUUGCAGUAGUAAAGACAAACAACUUUCACUUUAGAAGUUAAAUGCUGAGUAGGUACAAAUGAAACCCUUUUUCAUCCAUCGUGUUAUUUUAGCCUAUCUUGGGAAGGCUCAGAACGGAGAGGAACAAGGAGUAUUGCUGUACAAUUUGCUCUAAUGUUUACCUCUGGCACGUUCAAUAGGAUAGGGAGUUGAAUAAGUGUGUAAAUUAUACACAUAAGUGUGUAAAUGAACUGUGGUACAAACAUGGCUAGAUAAAUACUUCUUUAGAGAAGUAAAAAGGGAAACAGCAUUUAGGAAAUAGCUGAAUUACCAAAUUGUUAGUCAAAAAGGCUUCACUGAAUACGCAUAAUGUAAGUUGGGUAUUCUUCAAAACAUGUCGCUGUCACUGAGCCAGGUCAGCUAUCACCUACUGAACCUAGCUACAUUUGGCUGGAACAUGACUCAAUCCUCAGUAACAGGCUGCUGCUGGAGUACAUUCAGAAGACCUUAACACUAUUUUCAAACAGAAUGAAACCACGCUGAUUUCAGCAUAUCUGCUUCAUUAGAUAAAAAAAAAAAAAAUUAAAAAAGAUGAAAUUUAAGAUCUGUGAAGUAAAAAUUAAUUACAGAGAAAUCCUAAAGAACGUGACAAAGAAAGAAUAACCUUGGACUGUAAGAAGAGUAUAGAAGCAAGUUAUGAGUGGGGUGGGACACGGAAAAGAGUGAGAAGAUGUGGGCGGAGUCUGAGAGUGGUGAAGAAAUGAUACAGUGGGAUCUCAUGACCGCACAAUGUCUUCUGCCUAUGCUGGAAUAUGCCUAUGCUCUUCCACUAGCAGUGUAGCAGAAGCAUUUGAAUCAUAGGUGCUUCUUGCUCUUCUGCUUGAAGCUGCACAAGAACUUUGAUAGCUUGAGAACAGAGAAAGAGAGAGACAUGAAGACGUACACCUUCUCUUCAUGUGCUUAAAAUUACUAUAAAUACUUUCUAAAAAUGACCAGUGCUGAUGACUCAUAUGAUCUCUGAUUCCUUACUGGAUCUAUCGGUUAUUAUAUAGUUCAAAUAUUUCAAAAUAUUCCUAUCAUGCUCAAUAUAAUCUACAUAUGGUGAUUUCAUUUUAUUGAUUUUCUAAAUUAAAAUUAUGGGGAAAGUCAUACAUGCAAGAAAAAAAACAAGAGAAAACAUGCAAGAAAGAGUUUCGUAGAUCCUGUGUCUUGUUCAUACUGGAAACAAAAAUGAACACAUAGAUGACUACUAAUGAUAUAGAAUUACAGAAUCAUAGAACUGUGAAGGUUGGAAAAGACCACUAAGAUCAUCUAGUCCAACCAUCACCACCAUGGCCAUUAAAUCACGUCCCUCAUUGUCACACCUACCCCUCUUUUUCAAAAUUUCCAGGGAUGAUGACUCCACCACAUCUCUAUGCAGUCCGUUCCAAUAACUCACAGCUCUUUCUGAGACAAACUGAACUACUUCUGCUUCAAGUUAGGGUCAUUACCUCUUGCCCUAUUGCUAGUUACCUGGAAAACGAGGCUGACUUCCACCUCGCUACAAUCUCCUUUAAGAGAGCCAUUAGGUCUCCCUCCCUGAGCCUCCUCUUCUCAAAACUAAACAAUCCCAGUUCCCUCAGUCUUGCUAAAUACAUACAUAAAUCUCAUACAAUUGGCCUCAGCCAAUCCCUCUGCAGGGCCUUCCUACUCUCAGGCAGAUUGACACUUCCUCCCAACUUGGUGUCAUCUGUAAAUUUACAGGGAGUGCGCUCAGUCCCCUCACCCAGGUUAUCAAUAAAUGGACCUUGUAGUAUCAGAAUUAUGUCAGCAUUUGUAGUGGAGUCCUAGAGUCAACUACUCUGAGGCAUAUUGCUGCUGAUGGAAUAUGUGAAACUCAAGAAUUCGAAGGGUAAAUCAGCUAUGGAAAGAAGUUACAUAAGAGAUACACUGUUAGUUUCCUGUCCCUUGUGAGAGACAGCAGAUUUCAUGUCUUCCUUAGUACAUGGUUAUAUAAAUUUACCCACAUGCCCACUGUCGUAUACUCAGCUCAGUAAUAUGAAUCUAUUCUCACACAUUCAGUUGUGUUUACUUUGUAUCUACUCAUAAAGAUCCAAGAACAGACUGCAGGCUGUACUUUCGGGCUUAACUUAUGACACUUCCUCCUCUAUGCAGAUUUUAAGUAAUUUUGGUUUUGUCCUUUGAAGUGGAAAGGUGUUAGAAAAAGUAUAGAUAGCAAAAGUGUACUGAAUUCAGGAAUACAGGAUAAUAAUGAGCAAUGAUAAUCUGAUGGCAGAUCGACACUUCCUCCCAAUUUGGUGUCACCUGUGAACUUACUGAGAGUAUGCUCAAUCCCCUCACCCAGAUUAUAAAUAAAGAUAUUGAACAGGGCUGGCCCCAGUACUGAACCCUGAGGAGGACGACUAGUGACCAGUCACCAGCUGGAUUUAAGUCCACUCACCACCACUCCCUGGGCCUGGCCACCCAACCAGUUUUUUACCCAGCAAAGAGAACAGCUGUCCAAGCCAUGGACUGCCAGCUACUCCAGGAAAAUGCUGUGGGAGACAGAGUCAAAGCUUUACUAAUGUCUAGGUAGAUUACAUCCACAGCCUUUCCCUCAUCCCCUGAGUGGGUCACCUGGUCAUAGGAGAACUUGUUGCGAGGCAGGAUCUGCUGUUCAUGAACCUACAUUAGCUAGGCCUGAUCCCCUAGUUGUCCUCUACAUGCCAUAGGAUUGCACUGAAGACAAUGUGCUCCAUGACCUUCCCCGACACCAAGGUCAGGCUGACAAGCAUGUGGUUACCUGGAUCCUCCUUCUGACCCUUCUUUUAGAGGGGUGUCACAUUAGCAAGUAUCCAGUCAUCUGGGGCCGCCCCAUUUGAUCAGAACUGGUGAUAAAUGAUGGAAAGCAGGUUAUCAAAAACUUCUGUCUGGUCCCUCAGUACCCUUGGCUGGAUCCCAGCUGGUCAGGUGGAGCAGCAGUCACGGUUUCCUCCUGAACUGGGGGAGAUUUAUAUUGCUCCCUGUCCCUGUCUUCUAGUUCAGGGUUUUGAGUACCCCAAGGAUAACUGGCCUGACUAUUCAAGACAGAAGUAAGAAAGCACUGAGAACCUCAGCCUUUUCUUCAUCCUCAGUGACAGCAUCCAAUAAAGAUGGGAGAUUCUCCUUGGCCCUCCUCUUGCUGUUAAUAUCUCUCCAAAAAUAUUUUUCAUUAUCUUGAACACUGGUGGCAAGAUUAUGUUCUUUCUGGUCUUUUGCCUUUCUAAUUUUCCCUCUGCAUAUCCUAGCAACAUCCUUGUACAUCCAAGUUGUUCGUACAUUCUUUUUUUUUUUUUUUUUUUUUUUACCUGAAGUCUCAACAAAAGCUCCCUGUCCAGUCAGGCUGAUCUUCUUCCCCAUCAACUCAUCUUAUGGCGCAGGGAAAUGACAGCCUUUUUCUGUGUCUUUACAAUUUUAUUCUUGAGGGAAGUCCAGUGCUCCUGGACACCUUUGUCCUUCAGGACUGACUCCCAAGGGAUUCUCCCAGCCAGUGUUCUAAACAGUUCAAAGUCUGCCCUCCAGAAGUCCAAGGCAGUACUUUUGCCGAGCCCCCUUCUGACUUCACCAAGAAUAGAGAAGUCAAUCUUUUUAUGGCUGCUAUGCCCAAGACGGCUUCCAACUACCACGUCUCCCCCUAGUCCUUCCCUGUUUGUAAUCAGCAGGUCUAACAGGGUAUUUCCACUUGUAGGCUCUCUUACCCACUGCUUCAGGAUAUUAUCUUCCUUCAGUAUCCUCACUUACCUGUCCUUCGUGUCCUGGGGCCUCAUACCUGUUACACAAGGGCACUGGGAAGGUGAGGUAGGCCAGCAGAGGGGGUCACCCGCCAUUCCAAGAAGGAACCUGUUUCCGUUUCUCCUUGUCUCCUACAUCCCCUCCUUCUGUCCAGUGGCAAGAGGGGAGGGGAUCCACUGUUACUUGCCUCCUGGGUUCCUCUCUUACAAGGAUGUCAGCGAGUGGCUCCACCAGUCGAUCUCUAUUUCACACUCCCUGAUGCUUUUUAGUCUUUCUACCUACUCCUUUAGCUUUGCUACCAGGCAGAGCAAAUCAUGUACCUGCUCACAUCACACUGAGUUAGUAUCCCAACUACCCCCUAGUACUUGCAACAGGCUCAGGCAGUUCCUGCAGCCAGUGACCAGGACAGUUGGAUGUUUGAAUGGGCGCUCAGUCUGGAUUGCCACAGUCUUCUUGGGCACAGCUUUUGGUCAAAUGGAAACCAUGGCUAGUCUAGAUUCACUGAGAAGAUAAAGAGUGUUAUGGUGAGCUGGCUUCUUCAGUGGGGAGAAGGACUCCCUCUCUGCUUGCCCUGACUGUCUGAACUGCUGUGCAAGUUGCCAUGCUAUGCCCUACAGAUGCAUCUUGCCCUGUUACGUGUCUCAUUCACAGUGUUUUGUAUCAUAGCACUCCCUACAGGCUGUCGUUGUUCCAGAGGGAUUUGGCUGCCAUCAGUCCAGGCUCUUCCCACACUGCAUGAGAAUUGCAUCUCAUCAGGGGAAACAAUUGCUUUUAUCUAACCAAAUAUCUUCACUAACUGAAAAAAAAAAAAAAAAAAAAAAAAAAAAAAGAGUCCAAAGAAAUUAAAGAAAUAACAUGAUUCACUGCUUAUUACAUGCAUUUUAUUCAUGUCUGGUAGGGGAAAGAGAAAGAAAAAAAUGUAUAGAACUAUAAAUAAAAUGAAUCCACUGAGAUGAUUUACUAAUAUUGUGCUUCUGUAUGUUAGAUUUUCAUAAGGAAAUGUUUCUCAUAAAUAAUCUUCAAGGAACUUUUACUAAUCUUUCUUCAAACUAAAGAAUGACCCAAAUUCUAAUCAAGCAUUUUAUCCUAUUAAAUCUGUUAUGUAGCUUCAAAACUGGAGUAAUGCAUAUUGCAAUCCUUUUUUUCUCUCUUUGUAGUUCUCACCGUUACAACUUCAAAGACUCAGUUUGCUUAGACAUUUGCAUAUCCAUCUAGAAAGAUUACGCACUGUGCUCAGAUUUAAUUUUUGUUGUCAUUUGAAUAUUAAGGUUUUACUCAUACUGAGCAAUGAAAUGCCUUUCCUUGCCAAUCUUUCUCUCUGUAUACUACUAAGACAUCCUGAACAGUUUGUUCUGGUUUCAGUAAGAGUCUUCCACAUGACUGGUCACUAGUGGUGUUCCUCAAGGGUCAGUACUGGGGCCAGCUCUGUUCGAUAUCUUUAUUGAUAAUCUGGGUGAGGAGAUUGAGCAUACUCUCAGUAAGUUUACAGAUGACACCAAGUUGGGAGGAAGUGUCAGUCUGCCAUCAGAUUAUCAUCACUUAUUUUUACUCUGUGUCUUUAUAUUCAUACCGUCCUGUUUAAUAAGUACUUGAAUAAAUAGACAAGUAAACAAACAAAACAGCAUGUUAUGAUCAGAUGCACAACUUAAAUAUUAACGAACCAUACAUCUUAGAUAUAUAUAUUAAUUUAAUUAUAACAUCACUUGUAAGUUUAUCUUUUCAUAGUUUUUGCUUGAUUUACUCCAAACAUGUUUGCUUUUGAACAGUUACACACUAUCCAUGAUUCACCAUUUUGGUCUUAAAAGGUGAUGUUCAUUUUAAGAUGGCAUAAACUUUGUAUCAGCUUAUAUAUAUAUACUAUUAUCACCUAUCACUAUUCCCAUCCCCAUCCCUUAAAAUGAUAAAUAACAUAUAGCAGCUUAAAAAAAUUCAAUUUUCUUGAAUUUCAAGAUUAGUAUUAUUUCUCAUAAUCCAGAUAAAUAUAAUUACCUAUUUAUCAAUUGACUAUAGCAGAGGGGAGGCAUAGAACUUCUGUAUUUUGUUUGGCAGAAUUUCAUAGUUAUUCAAAGAGACUGAGUUAACAUAUGGCACAUACUGUUUCUAGCCUCCAUUUCUGUCUAAUAAACAGAAAGUUUGGGGGAGUAAAGAAAGAGGAAUGUCCUUUCCAGCAGAAAACACCUUCAGGGACUGGAAGUAUUUUUGCAAAGGUCAAACCAAAUCUAGCAAGAGCUCUGUUUAACAUCUCAAAAGUCAAACUAUCUGUUUUAGUAAAGCACUUCUUUUUAGCUUCCGUGAAAAAUUAUUGCUAUAACUUUCUCAGUUCCAGUGAAUAAUAAGUUGCAAUCUGAAUUCCUUGAAGCUUUAGGCUGAAAGCUUCUCAGUAGUUCAGAUCUCUUUACUUCUACUAUCUGAAAAUUCAAGAACUUUGAUGCUUAAAUAAGGCACAGUAAUGUGACAAUUCAGUCAUCCAGCGCACAGAUAGAAGGUAGUGAAAACCAUAGAAAAACAUAGAAUUUUGAAUAAGUAGGGAUGCUGUGAGAAGGAAUAGACUGCCUUCUGUCUUGCUGCAUGCACUACAGAAGACCAUGAAAAUUUUCAACUACCAUAUGUGGGCAAAGAUACGUGCAAAAUAUUUUCCAAAGAUUAUUGAAGAAUUACUAUUCUUAUGUAAUCAUAAUUGAUGUAUAUGAUUUAAUAUAUUAGCUAACUCCAAUAUGGCACCAUAUCAUUCAGUGAUCAAAUACAGCAGCUCAGAGAGAGCUUUGGAUACUUCUUCAGGUGUAAUCACCCUUCUCAAUGUGAUGCCAACACAGACAAAUAUUUUGGUGUUUCAUGGUCCUCCACAUUUCACACAAAUCUAGAAAAAGCUACUCCUGCCACCAUUGAGGCUUUAUAGCAGUCAUUGAAAACAUGUCCCUCAGGGUAUGAUUCAAAAAUUCCUUCUGGAAUAGGGAUAUAAAGCUGAAUUUCCAAGAGAAUGGCAGAAAUCAUCAAGAUCUCUAAUACACAGUUCAAGAACAAGUACUUUAUCUUUUCAGAACUAAUUGAAGAUACAUUUAAACACAAAUUUGAUUCACUCACGUUAACAUUUAGACACCAAGCCAGAGUUACAUUUGUAACUGUAAAGAAUUACAAUUAGCUUCAGCAGGAGAGUCUGGAGCCCACUGAUCUUAACAAACAGGUGAUUCUAACACUCUUACAGGAGAGUCAAAUUUAAAUUCUUUCUCAGAACACAACAAAGUGGUUUCUCUAACUACAGGAUUAAUUGGUGUUAGGCUAAGAUUACGGCUUGUAAAAGAAAGACAUAGACCCUUUACUGCAGUACAGACACUCUUGCUGUCAAUAAUGUCAAUAUAUUGAGGGAAAGGAGGCAUCCAACUCCAAGAUACUCUUGGUACUUGUGUCACUACCCUCAUAUCCUCUCUUACUGGUUUCUUUAGGCAAGUCCUGUAGAGAAAAUACACAAAUGCCUACCUUGAGCAGAUUGCAUGCAAUAGAUAGGAAUAGUUUUGGCACAUAUCCAAAGAUUUUAGCUGCUGGAGACAACUGGAUCUGUGAAUAACUGGGGAGAAACAUGAGUGUUGUUUAAUCAACAAAUUGCUAGUUAUAGGAAACUCCUUAGAGGUAACAGUGAAACUCAAGAACUGACUCCUCAUUAAAGAAGGACAGAGACAGUUUCUGCUAUAAAGGGAAAUCACUGAGUUUCACAUCAUCAUUUACAUAAGCAUGAGGUGAUGCCAACUGCGAGGAAUGCAAAGCAGUAAGCAAACCAAGAUAAGAUUGACAAGAAACUCCUGUUUUACCCAAUGAGUGGCUAAGAGUCAAUAAUUCUGAAGAAAAAAUGUUCGGCUGGAGUAUGUACAUAGAAAUAACUUUUUAAUAUAUCAUAGCAAAUGGAGAUACAGCAAGUCUUGCUGAAGUGUCAGAUGGCUAGGGAUCUUAAUUGGUAUAUGCAGUUUUUUGUUCUUGUAUGGCUCCCAUCUUCACAUAAUGAAUUGAUUCUCUACAGAUUUCAUAAGAAAUUACUGAAAACAGAUAAUUUUCUAGUUUGAUAAUUUUCUAGAUUGUGAGAAUACAAUUGCCAUAGGUGCAAUUGAAUCAUUAUAUUAUUUAUCACUAGCAUAAUACCAGAAGUUUUAUAACCAAGAGUUUGUUUGGCCUGUUGAAAUUCUGCUUGGAUAUAUAAAUUGCAUAGAGAUAUUUUCCUCAUUCUCAUUAAACCAGGAAGUCAGGGAGAAGUGAUCUCUCAGGAUGCAGGACAGAAAUAAAAUUAUCUCCUUACCUUACCCUACAUCCAUCUUUGAAGACAGAGAAAAGUACCUCCAGCAGAAAGUUUAGAAAGAGUAGGAACAGGGAGGUUAAGUUAAACAUCCACUGAAAUACAAGCCUGACUGUGAGGCUGGAAACCUGGAACACUGGCAUGCUGUCAUUUCCAGAACAUGUGACAAGUAAGAGUAGUAGAUCUUUCAAACAUUUUCUAGUAGAUUGCUGUUACUGCUUUUUUUUUUUUUUUUUUUUUUUUUUUUUUUUUUUUUUUUUGCGGGGGGUUGGGUGGUGGGGACAGUGGUGCUUUGGCUUUGGAAAUUCAUUCUGGCUUCAACAGGGAUAACACUGACUUUCUUCCUGGUAGUUCAUAAGGCACUGUGCUUCAGACUCUGGAUGAAAAUAGGGGUAAUAACACACCAAUGUUUCAGUUGUUGCUAAGCAGUGCUUGCACAGAACCAAAGACUUUUCAUCUUCCCAUACUUCCCUACCAGCAAGGGAAUUGGGGAUCUACAAGGAGCUGGAAGGGGACAGAACCAGGACAGAUGACCCAAACUGGUUAAGGGAUAUCCCAUAAAACAUAGCAUUAUGCUCAGCAGCAAAAACUUGGGGGAGCUGGUGGAGGAACUGGGAUGAGGGGAUAACAUUUUUUGGCAUUGGCAGGGCAUUGGUUAGCAGGUGGUGAGCAACUGUCAUGGUUUUAUGAUUUUUGGUUAUCAGUAUUCCACAUCACAACAUCAUGCAGUGUACUGGGAGUUAAAGAGCAAAUGCUUUAGUUCCGGGUACCUGUCUGGAAGAGAAAAAGAGCUGUGGACCCCAAGAGCCUUUUCAAGUACUGUUAUCAUUCUUGCUCAAGGGAACAGAUAUAAGGGUGCAGGUCAUCUGACUCGGCCCUCUUCUCGUCUCACCGUGUUCCCUGUUGGAUCGGCUCGCUACUGCUGCUCCCGACUACACGCAAGGCUUCAGUACUAGCGUAAGGCCUUUGGCUCUGGGACAAUCUUACUCUCAAUUAUUGUUGAUUUAUAUUGUAUUAUAGUGUGUUAUCUUACAUUCCGAUGCUAUAUUUAGUAAAUUAGUUUGUUUCUCCUCAGAUUGUUGCCUCUGUUUUUAAUUAUUUUGGGGUCCCCUGUUUCCCUUCCUGGAGACGCGGAUUUUGUGAAAUCCCUCCGCCCCACUAGUUGCGGAACCGGGCCGGACCAGCCCUUAAACUGUUGACAGCAACUAAGUUGUGCAAACUUGUCUUGUGUGUCAUUUUGUUAUUAAUAUUUUUUCCUUUAUUUUCUUUCUUCAUCUUUCUUAUCAGACUGUCAUUUUCUGCACCUAUUGAGCUCUUAAACAUUUGCUUUCAAUUUUUCCCUCCCAUACCACUGCUGAGAGGGGAGUGAGCAAACGUUUGUGUAGCAUAUAUCUGUCUGCUGAAUUAAAUCAUACACACACACACACAAACAAAAAACAAAAAACAAAAAACAAAUAACAAGCCUAUAUGUAUAAGAAACAGUAAAAAGAACAAUUCAACAGUCAGGAUGUAUUGAAACAGAUAGGCAGAAUCAACUUUAAAGCCACAGUAAAAUUUGUAUCUGCUGACCAUCAGCAUUGUAAACUUCAUACUGGAGGCAAUUUCUCUUAAUCCCAGAAGCUUUGGUUUCAAGCCUGAGCUUUCAAAUCAUUUAGUUCCAGGGCUGUCAAAUCAGUCAGGGUGUGUAGAGCCUAACUAUAGCACUAGCAUUAUCCUGCCCACCAGCAGAAAUCCUGUCAUUCCUUGCUUUUUCUUUCCUAUGAUUGCAAGCAAGCAUUUGGAACAGACAAGACCAAGUAUUAGAUUGCUCUUGUGGAAGGAAAGGACCUAGAAUGGCACUUAGCCUUUUGCCCAGAAAAUAAUAAACCCAGAUAGAGAGUCUGAGGUGGUAAAAUUUGCUUCAUAGUUAAUCAGCAGACUCAGACACAUAAGAAAAAUCUACACGACAAGCUCAGUGCUGGUGAAAAACACUGGGAGCAUUCAAUCAAAUUCAGUAUAUACUGAAUAAGGGGAAAUACUGUAGUUAUAUGUUGCUCAUGUAGCUUGUACUUUUGCCCUUCUGGUGCACUAAUCUAGAAUCAUAGAAUCAUAGAAUUGCUCAGGUUGGAAAAGACCUUAAAGAUCAUCAAGCCCAACUGCAACCUAACCAUACUACCCUAACUCUAACAUCCUUUUGCUAAAUCAUGUCCCUGAGCACCACAUCCAAACAGUUUUUAAACACAUUCAGAGAUGGUGACUCAACCACCUCCCUGGUGGGAUGUAAUUCAUCUUCAGUCUCUCUCUGACAGGACCUUCUGGUUGAAACAUCUACUUUUUUUUUUUUCUUUACAUUCUGAAAGCAAUUUUCUGUUGCUAAGGGUAAGUCUUCAGGUAUUAACAUUCCCUAGCUAAACUGAGGAGUGUUGUAAAUAAAUAGUAUAAUCAUAGAAUCAUAGAAUUGUUUGAGUUGGAAGGGACAUUUAAAGGUCAUCUAGUCAAACCCUGCAAUGAAGAAGGAUAUCUACAGCUGGAUCAGGUUGUCCAGAGCCCUUUUCAGCUUGAUCUUGAAUGUCUCCGAGGACGGGGCAUCCAUAUCUCUGGGAAACAUGUUCCAGUGCUUCCCUAUCAUUAUUGUAAAAAUCUUUUUCAUUAUAUCCAAUCUAAAUCUCCCCUUUUCUAGGCUGAAACCAUUUCAUCUUCUCUUGUCACAACAGAUUCUGCUGAAGAGUCUGUCCUUUCUUAUAGCUCUCCCGUCAGGUACUGGACUGCUGCUGUUAGGUCUCCCCAGAGCCUUCUCUUCUCCAGGCUGAACAGCCUCAGCUCUCUCAGCCUGUCUUUGUAGGGAAGAUGUUCCAUUCUUUGAUCAUUUUUGUGGCCCUUCUCUGGAUGUGCUUCAGCAGCUCAGUGCUUCUCCUGUACUUCACAUUUCCACAUCUGGACACAGUACUCCAGGUGAGGUCUCACCAGUGCAUAGUAGAAGGGAUGAAUCACCUCCCUCAAUCUGCUGGCCAAGCUUCUUUUGAUGGAGCUCAGGAUACAGUUGGCUUUCUGGGCUACAUGGGCACACUACUGGCUCACGUCCAGCUGCACUCACCAGUAUCCACAUGUCCUUUUCAGCAGGGCUGUGCUCUAUCCUUUUAACUCACUGUCAAUGUCAUUGCUGAAGAUAUUAAACAGCAUCAGUCCCAGUACUGACCCCUGAAGGACACCACUUGUCUGUGACCUCCAUCAGAACAUUGAGACAUUGACCACCAUUCUCCGAUUACAGUCUUGCAAACAGUUCCUGAGGACAUCCUUAGUAUAUGACAGUAGUGAUACUGUAAGAUCAGGUACAAUAUGCAUUUCUAAAACAAGCUAACAAAAAGAUUUUCCUUACAUUCAGAACAUUAUAUUAGGAUCUUACUAGACUUUCACUGUAGAAGAAAUCAGCAGGUUAAGCCUCCACACUAGUCUUGUUUGAUUUUAAUAGCAGCAACAAUUUAAUUUCAAUUGAAUCUAGAAAAUAUGAGGAGAGCAAUGUAUAUGAAAUUAUAGGCUGAACAGGCCUAUAACUGGUUCUUUUUGGGUAUCUCUUUUGUUCCACAGACACAUAGAAUCAUAUAAUCAUUAAGGUUGGAUAAGACUUCUAAGAUCAUCUACUCAAACGGGCAACCCAUCAUUAAGGUGCCCACUAAACUAAACCAUGUUGCUAAGUGUCUAAUCUACAUAUUUCUUGAACACCUCCAGGGACAGUGACUCCACCAUCUACCUGGGCAGCCUAUUCCAAUCCUUGGCCACUCCUUUGGAGAAGAAAUUUUUCCUAUGUAUCCAAUCUGAGCUUUCCCUGGUGCAACUUGAGUCUAUAGCCUGUCCUCUUAUCACUAGAUACCUGGGAGAAGAGACAACCUCCAUACUAAUAAUCUAAUGAAAAACAUAUAAAAAAUAAAAAAGAACACCAAAAUAAAUGCAUUCACUGAUAAAUGAAACGUGCAUUUACUAUUUCUUCUUAUACGUUAAUGCUCCCAUUUCUUCAAGGAGAGAAAAUUUUGAUUUUAAACAAUUUGUAUAUAAAGACUAAAUACUUCAAAAGGAAGUGUUAUUCAUGCUGGGUGCUGUUUUACAGCAGCUUAAUAGUAGCAUGCUUUUUGUUGUCUUUACAGCACUCUUACAUGGGGAGGUGAUUUUUUUUCUGUUCUCUGUAGCUAGUCUGUCUAUAUGAAACUCUUCCUGGAAGUCAUUUUAAAAUCAAGCCACACAUCUCCCAGAUCACUCCUUCAUCUUUGCCACAGUACUGAGCAUGCAGAGGGUGGUAGAAUGUGGGUGAACCAAGACACAGUAGCACUCCAGAUUUUCCACAACCCACAUUUUCCUAGUCAGAUAACAACAGUGGCGGUCUUUGUGGUUUCCUCUUUACAAUAACAACAACAACAACAACAAAUAAAAAUAAAAAUAAAAUUAAAAAAGGAAGAUUUUCUGAUCCAACGUUAAAAACUUUCUUCUCAAUUCAGAUGCAGAAAUCUAGGAGAUAAACCAGUUAUUUUCAAACCUUCAAAUAGGUGUUCUACUCUCAUGUGAAAAGGAAAUGCUGGCACAGGAUAUGAGGUCUGGAUUGAUGAAAUCUCACUGAGAUCUGAAUCUUGAUAUGAAUCUUGAUACAGAUUUGUGGUUCCUUGAGGUACUGUUCAGCUUUUGACAUCUUUGAAACUUGACCUUAAGCUGCUAAACAAAUUUAAUAAUAAGAUUUUUAACACACUUGUAUUAAGAUUUAUAGCACUUAUUCCACUCUUAACCACUCAUUUUUGCAAUGCUGACAAAAUCAACGAGUGAAUGUCUUGAAAUACAUUGAAAAAAAAAAAAGAAGAAGAGGAAUAAUCAGCAAACAUGCAUGAAUGAGGCUCAAAAAAAUGUGACUGCCUUCUAUGAUGAAAUGACUAGAUUUGCACAUGAGGAGAGGAGAAUAGAUGUCAUUUAAAUGGAUAACACUAGUAAGGCUUUCCUCAUAGUCUCUCACUGCAUCCUUAAGACAAAAUUACAGUACUAUCAUCCAGAUAGAUGACUAAGUGAAUGAUAAACAAUUUAAAAUGGUAGUGGCAAAUGGUUUGUACUCCACCUGGAGGCUGGCUGCAAACAGAGUAGCACAGUGGUCUGUAAAGCACCAACAGAAAGCACCUUCUGAAUUUCUGGAGUGAGCUUGAUAUGCCUCAAAACCGUGCAGCACAAGUCCAUCACCAUGACAACCAGUCAAAGGCUGAUAUCAGCAAGUGUAGUAUCCCAUCCUCCAAUGGGCUUACCCUUCUUAUAAGAAAGUUUUGGCUACAAACUUAUUUUUGACAAACUAGUUAUUGUGAACUUACUUGUUUAUGACCUCGGGACUGUGUAUCUGCAAACCUAGAAGGUAUAAAAGGAUGACUGAGAGGAACACUGGAGGUCAUCUUUUAUUUCAUCUUCUUCUUGGUGGUAAAUGUUUCUGUUUGCUGUUUUGAGACUGUAGCACCUGGACUAGCAUAUCACCCUUCCCCAACCCCUUUCCAGUACUGUGGGCCAAUACUAGAGCUCCUCAAAACAAGACUUCUUUUUCCUGUCGAUAUUUCUGACUCUUGUUCUUCCUCUGUUUUCCCUUUUUCAUUUUUCCUCCAUAAAAUUAAGUAAUUUCAAGGCUUAUUUUGGCUUCUUAGAAGUCAUAUCACUGGCACAGUUGUUAAGGUGAAAAGCUGUUAAGUAGUUGCAAGGCUUAUUUUGGUUCCUAUAGUUUAGCCAAAGUAUAAACAUGCUAAAAUUUUGAGACAAUUGUGUGUCAAUAUUGUGGAGUAAUUAUAGUAUAUAGAUUCUCAUUAAAACUGAUGUUUGUGUGUAGACCACUGAGUAACAUUUUACCUUAAUCUAACCAGGGGUAUUCAUUAAUCUAGUCACCCCUUUCUUCCCCCUACAGGCAGGAUGUGACAAGGUCUACUCCAAUUUAUUGUCUCUAUUGACUACCUGGAAAAGAUGGAGAACCUUCUUAUCAAGCCUGUAAAUUAUUCCAAAGUGAUCUGAAUUGUCAGUACACUAGGAGACAAUGCAGAAAUUCAAGAGCAAGAAAGACAGGUGGUUGAAUUUGCUUGUAGGCAGGUGUUUCACUCAGGCUCUGCAUCAUGUGCUGGCCAUGUGGAUGAAAUGUGCAAGUGGAGACAACCCUGUAGACCCUGGAGAGAAUAAAAGCAGGAGGGAGGCUGUUGUUAGUGGGUUUGAGAGGAAAAGUGCAUUUUGAAGGGGAGAUGGAUGGAUGGAUGGAUGGAUGGAUGGAUGGAUGGAUGGAUGGAUGGAUGGAUGGAUGGAUGGAUGGAUGGAUGGAUGGAUGGAUGGAUGUCCUGCUGACAGUACUUGUUGAAUGUAUUGCUGAUAUGUUCCUUCUCCUACUCGGUUCUUCAUCCAUCUCUCAAGGAUUGGUAAGUAAUAUUGCACUUGCUUAAGGGAGCUUCUGUUGUAGCUUGCUAGGGUUCAUAUAGCAUUUGCUUAGCAAGUUUCUGUGUGCCACUUACUAGGGUUACUGUGUGUAUGCCUGUGUGUGUGUGUAUUGAAUAAAACAUACAACUCUAAGUACUGCCCUGAGUGUGUAGUUACUUGCUUCUGUUUUUGAGAUAUCCUGUCUCUCAUAUCCAAACAUACCAUGAAACACCCAUGAAUACAGAACUAUGAUUAAUUCCUUCUAAAGAAAUUAACAAGAAUGAGAUGGUUAAGAUAUAUUUAGUAAACAUUAAUGAUACAAUUAUUUAGCUAUAACCUCUUCCUACAGCUCCACUCACUUUAUUAACUAACAGUACCACUUAUCUAGGUGGCAUUUGAAGACAAUGUCUCCUGUCAGUGCAAUACUGUCUUUCAGUUAGUAAUUUCUAGGUAUGUGAGUGUAAGAGACUUUUUGGCCUCAGAAAUUCACAUUUAUAUGUACUAUCCAAAUCUCUUCAGUGCGGGAGACUAGGCCAAAAAUCCUGAAAAACUGUUGUUCUCAAGAAAGUGCUACUAUUUCUUAACAAUAGCAACAAAACAACAGCAAUGACAACAAAGACUUAUAUGGAAAAUAAACAGGAUCUUACAUACUGAAAUUCAGGGAUGUUAUGGUUUCAGGUCCCAUUUUUCUGAACAGCUUGCUUGGGAAGAGAUGGAAUGUAGCUGAUUUCUAGUCCAUCUCUCACUGAGAGGUAAAGCCACUGAAAAAGUGAUGCUAGGCAAAAAGAAGCAAAACAGCAUGCCUGCCAAAAUCCUGAAUCUUCUGUAAUUGGGCUUUGAGCCAGGUCAUAGCAUUUAAAAAGCAAAUGCAGCACUAAAAUAUUGUUUUAUCAUGUCUGUUUCUCAAUACUGAAAUUACUGAAAUUCACAGUACUUUGCAGCUUGAUCUUUAGUAUUGUUCUCAUUGAUGUGACAUAGUUCUGCACUGGUAUUUUUUGCAAGUAAAAGAAGUGACCUGCAAACAUGCAGAGAUGCUAUCUGUACUCAAUCUGUUAUAAAACCAUCCAGCUGUCCUGGAAGUGCAACAGGAUCAACAGAGACACUGUGUACAACUCCAUCCUCAUGGGGCGCAGGAUGCCACACACAUUGGCUGAUUGCAGUAAUUAACAUCUAAAGCUGAGACAAGAACUAGCACUAGUAUUUCCUACCACAGGUUAGUUAAAUGCCAAAUAAUCAUGCAUAAAGAUUAUUCUGAAAAUUCUAAAAUAUUCUGUUCCAUUACACAAAUUUUUGAGUUUUAUUUGUGUCCUAAUUCUGUUCUUACUAGUGGAUGUUCAAGCAGUUCCAGAUAGUAUCUAUCAUGAGUUACCUGUCAGUCAAUAAAUUUAAGGUAAAUUCCAGUUAGAAAUGCCCUUUAGAGAAUAGCUUUAAUUGUCAAGCUGGCCUGUUAAAUUGGACUUGAUUUUGGAGGAGCAGAGGGGGCAGUAGAGGAGCAGACUGAGAAAGCGGCAUCUGUCAUGGAAGUGUAUAUGAAGCAAAGGUCUGUAAUUGAAUUCCUCCAUGUGGAAAAAACUGCACCCAUUGACACUUGCUGAAUGUUUAUGGAAAUCAAACAGUGGAUGUGAGCACAGUAAGGUGAUGUGUGGUGUGUUUCAGCAGUGGAAACAGCAACAUGAAAAAGAAGCCCCAUUCCAGAUGGCCAUGAAGAUUGUUAUAAGUGCAGCUACAAGGCUGUUGUUCAUCACUGGUGAGAACACAUAGGUAAUGGUGGUGAUUAUGCUGAAAAAUAACGUUUUGUAGCUGAGAAUUUGCUCUAUCAAAUAGUAUUAUUGUACUCCUUGUAUCUGUUGUAGUUUCCAUGGAAAUACAUAGAAGGCAUUACUUUCAGGGCAGCCUGCAUAUAUAGUUAUCAUUGUAUUUUUGUUUCUAUUUUCCUUUUCUGUUUUAGCAAGUAGUUUCUAUCUCAACCCUUGGAUUCUCUUUUCUUUCCAGUUCUCUCCCUCAUCCCAUGGUGGGGGGAGUCAACAAGCGGCUGUGUGAUGCUUAGCUACCUGCAAGGCUAAACCACAACAGUCCUUUUUGGUGCCCAACAUGAGGCUCGAAGUGUUGAGAAAAAAGAUCUGUUAAAGCCAAGUAGCUAUAAGUGUUACAGUUGUUUAAUAGUUGAUGGUCACAAUGUUAUUUUUCCUGUUCUUGGAGAUCUGUCAGAGUUUUUCACGGAACAAUAUUGUUUAAUACCUUACUUGUUCUGCUGUGAUCCCUCUGGUUCUGCUUACCAUUUUCAGCAGCUGGAUUAAGGUUAUCAUUUAUCUGUACAGUGUAACAUUGGUUGGGAAGCUAACUUAGUUUGUUGUUUUUUUUUAUGUUGCAGACAUCAUUGUAGAUCGGGAACCAUAUCUUGGAAACGAUUAUAUUUUCACUCUUUACCUUGUCUCCUCUUGAAAAGAUGGUAAAAUAUUUAAAAAAGGUAUGCUUAUUGUCCUGGCAAUUCUAGAGAAAUAUAGAUCACUGCAGAGUGCUAGGGCCUGACCCUUGCCUACAGAACCCUGUUCAACACUCUUCAGCACUCUAAAGGGAAAAAGAUCUCUGGAUCUCAUGACAAUGAAGCAGGCACUGUGGUUGCUACAACCCCUGUGAUUCAUCCAGAGAACCAACCCAUGCCACUCCCUUUUGGGCCAGUUCAGCUUGGUACCACGACUAAAUGGGGUAUGAGGAUCCACAGACCCACAACCUGAGAUAGGGGAAAGGGGGAAGGGAGAUGGACCUAAAAACAAAACAGCAGGAACAAGCUUAGGGAGAAAACUAGUUUACUAAAUAUGAUAGCGGAAUGUGAAUAACACAAUAAAACAAAAUAUAAUUGGAAUUGAAGCUAAUAAAUAAAAUAAAAUGAGAGAUAGUGUCCAAAACUGAAGGCUUUACUCUAAUGCUGAAAGUGAGAUGGCUAGGAAGUACACACCACAGAGAUGAGCAAUAAAAAAAUGGUCAGUCUCAUGACUUGUGAGUAGUUUUCUUUCCCUCUAAACAGAAAACAGAAAUGGAACAGAGAAGCCUUCUGGGAUUUGUAGUUCUCUUCUGAAAACUAGGAACCUAGAAAUAUCAACAAUCCACAGAACUGGAGCAUUAACUCUUCAAAUCCCAGUGCACUACAUGAUGUUAUAUGUGAAAUACUGAUAAGAAAAAUCAUAAAACCAUGUCAAAGAGUCAGCACAUCGAGUAAGAUUAGAAAUUCCUACUAAAAUAAGGAUGGAAGAAGAAGAUGAGGAUGAAACAUGGCUAUCACAAGGGCCAUCAUAACAAUGGGAGGAGGAGGAGGAAGAAUCAGAACUUGUAAAGGAGGCGAUAACUAUCUGACCCCUAACUAUGAGUGAGCUGCAAGAUAUGGAAAAACAUUUCAGCUAUCAUCCAGGAGAGUAUAUUGUCACCUGGUUGCUCCAAUACCGGGAUAAUGGGAACAGUAGCCUGGAUGUGGUGGGCACUGAAGCCAAGCAGUUGGGAUCUCUUUCUAGGGAAGAAAUCGGAAAAGGGACACAGGUCCCACGGGUGCAACUCUUGUCAGCAGUGAAGGGAAGAUAUCCCUUCAAGAAUGAUCUGGUAUGUUAUUCAGGAAAAUGGACCACCACAGAGAAAGGUAUCCAGUACUUGAGGAAAUUAGCUAUGCUAGAGAUGAAGUAUAAUACUGACCUGGAUGACGAUCAGUUAUCUCAAGAUCCAGAUGAUGUCAUGUGCCCAUGACCUAUGUGGCAGAAAUUUGUAUGGAGUCCACCAUCAUCACAUGCCAACACACUGGCAAAAAUGACCUGCAUAGCUGAAGAAAAACUAGCAGUGAAUGAACAAUAUAGCCUACCUCAACAAUAUGAAGAAACACUUCUCCUCCCUAUUGGCUUGUCUCAGCUGUGAAGAACCUGUUCUGGGAGUUCCAGAAUUCAAAGACUAGGCACUUGUACAUACCAAUAUCUCAGCUACUAGAGGUAAUCAUUCCUCUGCUUGAGAAAGGGGACAAUUGGGUACACACCAUAUGCCAUCCUGUGGUUUUACCUAUGUAACCAUGAUACGAUAAAGUAGGAUAGAAAACCCUUCUCAACCCUAGAGGCACAGGUACAUAAGUUGCAGGAAAAAACAACUGGAAAAGGGAGUACUUCAAGAAAAAUGAUCCCUUCAGUUUCCAGUGAGCAGUCUCCCAGACUAAGUAGAUGAUUUGAUACUAUUUCUGAGAUUGAAAAUUGGACUUUUGGUUUCUGUUCUUGAGAAGAUAAUGACAAAUAUAGUGACCAGUUCCAGAGGGGGCCCUGCAUUCAGCCAUGUGGAGGAAAGGCAAAAUCAGAUUUAUUGGACUAUGACAUCAGAGCCACAGGAGUAUAACACUCUGGUGGAAACUGGUGAAAGAGUGUAUUCUGGUCCCAUUAAGCUCUAAAGGGGCAGAACACAUCUGUAUUUCUGGAGUACCAGGGAAUCUCAAGCACUAACAUUAUUGGAGGCCAAAGUGGAAAUGAGUGGCAAAAGUACUCUACUGCAAUUGGCCUAGAGGUUCCACGCAUCUUGAGUACAGAUUACCUCAGGAAAGGGCACUUCAGGGACCCAACGGGGUACUGGUAGGCUCUUGGUAUAGAUGUCUUGGAGAACAUUAAGUAGCUGUUUAUCUUGCUCAGUCCCUCCUGUUGUGAGGUUGCUAAACAUAAAAGAACAGCAUGUGCCAAUUGCUACAACUGUGCACCAUUGGCUUUCUUGCAAGGCAUGCUUGUACUUCAGUAUGAACUGGAGUCAAAGGCAACCAAGUGGUAUGCUACAACUGAUAGUGUCAAUGGAUUUUUCUCAAUCUCUUUGGCAGCAUAGUGCAGGCCAAAGUUUGCAUUGAAACAGGGAGAAGCUCCUGAACACCUGCAAUACACUGAUACAUCAUGUGGGGCAACACAGCAGAGGAAGUUUUUGAGAACAGGAAGAAAAUAAUACAAACAGUUCUGAAAGCCAGUUUUUGCCAUAAAGCAAAGUAAGAUUAAGAAGCCUGCACAGGGAAUUCAAUUCUGAGGAAUAAAAUGGAUGGAUGCCAUCAGAUCCCCAUGGAUGUGAUCAACAAAAUGAUAUAGGCUACAUAGGUCAGUCUAAAAUAAUGCCUCCUGUGUAUUUACAUGGAAACUACAACAGAUGCAAAGAGCACAAUAACCCUACUGAAUAGAGCACAUUCUCUCUCUACAAAAACUACUUUUCAACAUGAUCACCACCGUUAUCUACGUGAAUUCAGGUGAAUUAUGGUUGAUGCCCUCUCCCUGGAGACUUUCAAGGUGAGGCUGGAUCAGGCCUUGGACAACUUGGUUCAGCUGAGCAUAUCCCUGCUCACUGAAGGGGAGUUGGUCUAGAUGACCUUUAAAGUUCCCUUCCAACUCUAAGGUUUCUAUGAUUCUCUGUUGUCAGGCUGCUCCUCUGCUGCCGUGUCACAUAGCAACAAAAUUUAAUGGAAUACUGUCUUAAAUAUUCAACCUCUACUGCCAUACUACCAACAUCUGCCUCUGACAUUGUAGACCAAUAUAAUAAAAUAGAAGAUAUUACUUUUGAAGCAAUCCUGGUAUGUCCUUAUCAACUAGCAAAAAGGAAACACAAGCUUUCUUAGGUGUCACAGGGUUUUGGACAAUGCAUAUUCUGAAUUACAGUCUGAUUGUAAACCCUCUAUAUCAAGUGACCAAGAAGAAGAACAAUUUCAGAUGGGGUCCUGAGGAAGAAGACUUCUAACAAAUUAAACAGGAAAUAAUUUGUGCGUUACCAUGAAAUACUUGGACCAGUGGAAGCAGUACAAAAUGCUACAGAUAUGCUCUACGCUGCAGCUAGGGAGAAUGGUCCUACCCAGAGGACCACUGGAUUGACAAUACAUGAAGGAGCUUGAGCUGCUUUGGAAGCGGUUGAUACUGAAGCACCAGCUCCUCUUAUCACUCUGACUGCCUGUGCUGGGUUGAAUGUUCAAAGGGAGGGUCCUCUCUACACAUUAUGCAGCUCAUGCUACAUGGAAUAAGUGGAUUGCACUGAUCACACAACGACUUUGAGUCUUGUAGUCCAAGAAUCUUGGAAAUGAUUGUGGGAUAACUCAAAAGCAAAGAUUUUGUAAUGUCAUCAGAAGAGGAGGUGAUGCAUGUUGAAGAGAUCCCAAUGCAAAAUAAGUUACCAGAGAAUGAGAAGCAAUAUGCUUUGUUCACUGACAGGUCCUCUUCUAUUGUAUGAAAACACUGGAGGAGGAAGGCAGUUGUGUGGAGCCCUGCACAACAAAUUGCAGACAUUUCUGAAAAAGAAAGUGAAUCGAGACAAUUUGCAGAAGUGAAGGUCAUCCAGCUGGCUUUAGAUGUUGCUGAAAGAGAGAGUGACUAGUACUGUACCUAUGCACUGGCUCUUGGAUGGUGACAUAUGCUCCUUGAGGGUGGUUACUACAAUGUAAGCAGAACAACCGGUAACUCAGAGGCAAGCUCAUCUGGGUUGUUGCAUUGUGGAAAGAUAUUACUGCACAGAUAAGGAACAUGGAUGUAAAAGUACAUCACAUAUAUGUCCACAAACCCGACAGUCAUUUCACGGAGAAACAUCGAAACAACAAGCAGAUGGCCAUUAGGAUCGAAGUGGCUCAGGUAGGUUUCGACUGACAACAUAAGGGUGAAUUAUUUCUGGCUUGGUGGGCCCAUAGCACCUCAAGCCAGCAAUGAAGAGAUGCAACGUAUAUCCCAAAAUUCUAUAUCUUGACAGCUUGCUCUCUUCUGUGUUCAACUGGUUGCAGAAACAGAACCCUUUAGUUGUAGGCCAACAUAAUAAAAUAGGAGAUGCUAUUUCCAAAGUAGCUAUCAUAAAAUGGAACUGAAAUUUUCAUGAGAAAUGACAAGAAAACUAAGGAGAAAAAACAAGACUUGAAGAACAUUUCAGAAUCGUGUCUACUGUCUGACAUUCUUAGAGAGUUCUCUAGUUCUAUUCUUUUUCUGUUGAAGUAACAUUCACAGUGUUUUCUAAAGGCAAGAGAAGGAUCAUGGAAUUUUACAGAGUAUUAAUUUGCUUUGCUGUAAUUCAUUACAGCUGAGUGCACUGUCCUCAGAAAACAGCUUAUCAAAUUAAUACUACACCUUUUUCUGUUUGUUUCUGACUAUGCUUGAUUUUUAUUAAGUGUAUUGCUAAAAAUUCAAGUUUAAUUAAGAAAAAAAAACAACAAAAAAAGGAAAGACUGUAUUAGCUUCAUAUGGACAUUCUCUAGUUCUGCUCUUUACUUUACUUUCCUUUGUCUAAUGAUCUAAAGUACGAAGGCAGUAUCCUGCUGGAGACAGCACCUCCAGAAGAAGAGAAAAACAAAAUCAAGUAAACUGCGUGAUGACCAUGUGAUAAUGACCCCAACUGGAGGAAAAGUACAUGGCUAGGAAUCACUCAUGACUCUGAUUGGAUAAGCAGCUGCAUACACAGUUAAGGAGUGUUUGUGGAAUUAUUUGUUGACAUGUAAAGGUGGGUGAGAAAGUAAAAAGAGAAAACUUGUGAAUGCAUAUAAGGGAUGUUAGAACCUGUAAGAAGUGAUUUGGAUCAUUCACAUCUGCAUUCAUGCCACAGAUGCUGUAAAGUUUGACUUCAGUUAUAUAUCUUUUCCUGCUUGGUAAACUAAAUGAAAUUAGAUGCAUGUAAUUGUUGCUUCCUGAUUCAAUUGGAGAACGAGUAAAUGCUAUUAAAGUCCACCCACAAAAGUUCUCAUUUGAAUUUGAAAUGAGCUGUUCUACAUGGAACAAUGAGCUAAGUUCUUCUACUGUUCUUCCACUGAUUGGUCUUACAUAUGUUCAGUUGAACAUAUUCCUUCUCCAAACUCACACUUCAGUUCAGAACACACUGAUUCAAGGAACUGUGUCAACUUAACAAACACACAAUGCCUUUAAUUUUCCUUCUUCACAACAUCUGAUUAUUUUCUCGUUCAGUUCUUUAGGGCAGAUACUAUCCUGUCAUAAACUAGCACAAAUAUCCAUAAUUCCUUUUCCUACUAAUAUUCCACUUAUUAGGAAAAAAUCAACUCUUGGAUAAUAAAUAAACACAUGAACUCAGCCUGAAAAGAAGUUUACAAGUUAAAAAAGAUUACAAACCAGAUUUUAGAAGUUCCUUUGGCAUUUGUAUAGUAGAAACAAAACAUACAAAAACACACACAGCAAUUCUUUCCAUACUAUUCUAAGGAAUACAUGUCCAUGAACUUGCAAAACAGUACUCAAAGCUUAGUCAGAAUCUUAUCCUGUAGAGAUCAUGAAGGUCAAAAGACAUUCAAGGAGUAUUUUCUGAAAUAAAACUUACAUGCAGUGCAAGCCCAAUGGAUAUGAUCCUCAAAAAAGCCUACCAUUUGUUUAAAACAAAAGAGACUAAUUUUGUACAAAAAUAAUUUCUUAAAAAUUUUACUGUUUAUGCAUCACAAUAUAAGCUUAGCAGUCCCUGAAGGUAGCCUAGAGAUGUAGAUAAAACAACAGGGAAAGAAAAUUGAUACUGCUACCAAACUACUCUCUAUCUAUAUAGAAAGAAGAGUCAUUACAUUUAGUUAUUACUUUGACACGGUUAUUUAGAUCAAUCUAUGCCCAUGAAAGGGGGGGGACGGUAGGCCUGUGGGCCCCCUGACCCCAAAAAAAUGGGAAGGGAAAAAAGGAAAGGGUAGGGAGAUGGGAGCUGGACUCAAAGACAGAACAGCAACAACAAUCUAAGAAGGAAAACUAAAUUUUACUAACUAUGAUAUUGGAAU